AUUGAACGCUGGCGGCAUGCUCUACACAUGCAAGUCGGACGGCAGCGGGGUAGUGCUUGCACUACUGCCGGCGAGUGGCGAACGGGUGAGUAAUAUAUUGGAACGUACCGAGUAAUGGGGGAUAACCAAUCGAAAGAUUGGCUAAUACCGCAUACGCUCUGAGGAGGAAAGCAGGGGACCUUCGGGCCUUGCGUUAUUCGAGCGGCCAAUAUCUGAUUAGCUAGUUGGUGGGGUAAGGGCCUACCAAGGCGACGAUCAGUAGCGGGUCUGAGAGGAUGAUCCGCCACACUGGGACUGAGACACGGCCCAGACUCCUACGGGAGGCAGCAGUGGGGAAUUUUGGACAAUGGGCGCAAGCCUGAUCCAGCCAUGCCGCGUGUCUGAAGAAGGCCUUCGGGUUGUAAAGGACUUUUGUUAGGGAAGAAAAAGGAGCGGUUAAUACCCGUUUCUGCUGACGGUACCUAAAGAAUAAGCACCGGCUAACUACGUG
rnacentral:rRNA from 1 species